AGUCGAGCGAAUGGAUUAAGAGCUUGCUCUUAUGAAGUUAGCGGCGGACGGGUGAGUAACACGUGGGUAACCUACCCAUAAGACUGGGAUAACUCCGGGAAACCGGGGCUAAUACCGGAUAAUAUUUUGAACUGCAUAGUUCGAAAUUGAAAGGCGGCUUCGGCUGUCACUUAUGGAUGGACCCGCGUCGCAUUAGCUAGUUGGUGAGGUAACGGCUCACCAAGGCGACGAUGCGUAGCCGACCUGAGAGGGUGAUCGGCCACACUGGGACUGAGACACGGCCCAGACUCCUACGGGAGGCAGCAGUAGGGAAUCUUCCGCAAUGGACGAAAGUCUGACGGAGCAACGCCGCGUGAGUGAUGAAGGCUUUCGGGUCGUAAAACUCUGUUGUUAGGGAAGAACAAGUGCUAGUUGAAUAAGCUGGCACCUUGACGGUACCUAACCAGAAAGCCACGGCUAACUACGUGCCAGCAGCCGCGGUAAUACGUAGGUGGCAAGCGUUAUCCGGAAUUAUUGGGCGUAAAGCGCGCGCAGGUGGUUUCUUAAGUCUGAUGUGAAAGCCCACGGCUCAACCGUGGAGGGUCAUUGGAAACUGGGAGACUUGAGUGCAGAAGAGGAAAGUGGAAUUCCAUGUGUAGCGGUGAAAUGCGUAGAGAUAUGGAGGAACACCAGUGGCGAAGGCGACUUUCUGGUCUGUAACUGACACUGAGGCGCGAAAGC
rnacentral:rRNA from 1 species